rnacentral:rRNA from 1 species
ACGGGUGAGUAAUGUCUGGGAAACGUGCCUGAUGGAGGGGGAGUAACUACUGGAAACGGUAGCUAAUACCGCAUAACGUCGCAAGACCAAAGAGGGGGGACCUUCGGGCCUCUUGCCAUCAGAUGUGCCCAGAUGGGAUUAGCUAGUAGGUGGGGUAACGGCUCACCUAGGCGACGAUCCCUAGCUGGUCUGAGAGGAUGACCAGCCACACUGGAACUGAGACACGGUCCAGACUCCUACGGGAGGCAGCAUG